AAAUUCCUUGGGCUUAGUAGCUUGUGAAGCCCAUGAACGUGGGGCAAGGGAUGAAAGGAGCUUCAGACUCCACCAUUCACGUUUCAAACUCAACAUCCAUGACUCUCUCCCUCUCAUUCUAACUCUCUUAAUCGGAAAUCACUCCGCCGUGCAAGAGGCGGCAAAGCAACCCAACUUGGCCCAUAAUCACCACCAUUAAGACCAUAUCACUAUCCUCUUUCCACUUCUUGUAUCAAUUUCUUAUGAAACUCACUCAAGCAUCUUAUCCCUCAAACAAACAUCAAGAACUCUAAGUCCUAAAUCCAAAAUUAAAUUACCAAGACCCACUAAUCUGAACUCAAACCUUAGGGGUUUGGUUUACCUACUCAAACAUUACAUCCUGGUAACAAUAUUGGAGCAACGAAGUGAAAAUUUGAAGGGCCUACCUACAAGGAGAAUGCUUACCUUGGAAAUUGUUGAAGAUGAAAAUGAUGAAGCUUCCGAGAAAGCCAGAGGAGAAAUACAAUAAGUAAAUGCUUUGACACUUCAAUUCUCUGCAAUAAUUUCUUCUUCCUCUUCUCUUGAGUGUAAUAAGUUGGACUGUUGAAUUUGUUGUAUUGUUGAUUAGGAAGAAUGGAAAGUGUGUAGAGUAUGGGAAUAAAGCUUAACUAUUGUUACAACAAACUUUAAUGUGAAGUUUGAUCAACAAUGGUGGGGUCGAGCUCUGAGUGUGGUGAGGGAGAUGCGAGUGAAUGCAAAGAAAUUGCAGAGAGAGUGAUUUGAGAGUGAUGAUCUGCAAAGUUAAAAAAUGGUCCCUGAGAUUGAUGAUAUAAUGUAGCUUAUAUAGAGAUUGAGGUGGAAAAGAUUGUAAUUGAAUUAGGCAGAGGUUAGGGCAAAGUAGUUACAAUCAGGGCACAUGUUAAUGUUAAUUGAUUUAAAUAGCAGGUUAGUUAGGAGAUUGACACUGUUAGCUAACAAUGAGUUGAGUUAGGUUUUUGACAGUUAGUGAAUUCCAUUAGGGUGAGAAUUGUUAGUGAAAUGAAAUUGAUUAGUUGUAUUGAAAUGUUAAUGAUAGUUAGUGAAUAUGUUUAGCAGACUGUUAAUUGACUUUUAAAUUGUUUAAAAGUUGAAUGAAUUGUUUAUGGAACUCGUUGAAGGUUGGAUUGUCAAAUGGGUUAUUUAGAUUGAAUUGUGUCAAUGAAACCUGAACUGUCAUGAAAAAUUGCAUUGUUAUGAACUGGCAUAGAAUGUUUGAAUUAUGACUGAAUUAAAUGAAUUGUUAGAAUUGAAUUAGGGUGGUUA
rnacentral:lncRNA from 1 species